rnacentral:rRNA from 1 species
UACGUAUGGGGCAAGCGUUAUCCGGAUUUACUGGGUGUAAAGGGUGCGCAGGCGGCGUGUCAAGUCAGCGGUAAAAUGUCGGGGCUCAACCCCGGCCGGCCGUUGAAACUGGCGUGCUCGAGUUGGAGAGAAGUAUGCGGAAUUCGUGGUGUAGCGGUGAAAUGCAUAGAUAUCACGAAGAACCCCGAUUGCGAAGGCAGCAUACCGGCUCCACACUGACGCUGAGGCACGAAAGCGUGGGUAUCGAACAGG